rnacentral:rRNA from 1 species
GAGUUUGAUCAUGGCUCAGAUUGAACGCUGGCGGCAUGCCUUACACAUGCAAGUCGAACGGCAGCAUGAUCUAGCUUGCUAGAUUGAUGGCGAGUGGCGAACGGGUGAGUAAUACAUCGGAACGUGCCCUGUAGUGGGGGAUAACUAGUCGAAAGAUUAGCUAAUACCGCAUACGACCUGAGGGUGAAAGUGGGGGACCGCAAGGCCUCAUGCUAUAGGAGCGGCCGAUGUCUGAUUAGCUAGUUGGUGGGGUAAAGGCCCACCAAGGCGACGAUCAGUAGCUGGUCUGAGAGGACGAUCAGCCACACUGGGACUGAGACACGGGCCCAGACUCCUACGGGAGGCAGCAGUGGGGAAUUUUGGACAAUGGGCGAAAGCCUGAUCCAGCAAUGCCGCGUGUGUGAAGAAGGCCUGGUGU